UACGGGGGGGGCAAGCGUUGUUCGGAAUUACUGGGCGUAAAGGGCUCGUAGGCGGCCAACUAAGUCAUACGUGAAAUCCCUCGGCUUAACCGGGGAACUGCGUCUGAUACUGGAUGGCUUGAGUUCGGGAGAGGGAUGCGGAAUUCCAGGUGUAGCGGUGAAAUGCGUAGAUAUCUGGAGGAACACCGGUGGCGAAUGCGGCAUCCUGGACCGAUACUGACGCUGAGGAGCGAAAGCCAGGGGAGCAAACGGG
rnacentral:rRNA from 1 species